GGGAAUGUAGCUUAGUGGUAGAGUGCUUGCCUGGUGUACAUGAAGAUCUAGGUUCGAUUCCUCAGUACCA
rnacentral:tRNA from 1 species